AUACUUACCUGUGGGGGAGACACCAGGAUCAUGAAGGGGCCUUUCCCAGGGUAGGGCUUACCUAUUAUUGCUCAGGAUGUGCUGACCCCCACAAGUUCCCCAGAUGUGGGAACUUGACUGCAUAGUUUGUGGUAGUCAGGGACUGCAUCAUCGUGCUUUCCCCUG